CCUACGGGAGGCAGCAGUGAGGAAUAUUGGUCAAUGGUCGGAAGUCUGAACCAGCCAUGCCGCGUGCGGGAAGAAGGUACAAAGUAUCGUAAACUGCUUUUGUACGGGAACAAAGGCUGGUACGCGUAUCCGGCUGAAUGUAUCGUAAGAAUAAGCAUCGGCUAACUCCGUGCCAGCAGCCGCGGUAAUACGGAGGAUUCGAGCGUUAUCCGGAUUUAUUGGGUUUAAGGGGUGCGUAGGCGGUCGUAUAAGUUAGAGGUGAAAUCCCGGGGCUCAACUUCGGGAUUGCCUUUGAAACUGGUCGGCUAGAGAGUAGUAGAGGUAGGCGGAAUGCACGGUGUAGCGGUGAAAUGCAUAGAGAUCAUACAGAACACCGAUUGCGAAGGCAGCUUACCGGGUUCACACUGACGUUGAGGCACGAAAGCGUGGGGAGCAAACAGGAUUAGAUACCCGUGUAGUC
rnacentral:rRNA from 1 species